rnacentral:rRNA from 1 species
GGAACCUUAUCGGUACUCGCGAAUGAUCCAGAUGAUUUAUGAUCAUUGGCUCAGAUUGAACGCUGGCGUAAUGCUUACACAUGCAAGUCGAACGGCAGCACAGGGUAGCUUGCUACCUGGGUGGCGAGUGGCGGACGGGUGANUAACGCGUAGAAAUCUAACCUUUUGGUGGGGGAUAACCCGGGGAAACCCGGGUAUACCGAUACGCCCAUAUGGGGAAAGCGGGGGACCUUCGGGUCUCGCUGCAGAAAGAUGAGCCUGCGUCCUAUCAGGUGGUUGGUGAGGUAAUGGCUCACCAAGCCGACGACGGGUAGCUGGUCUGAGAGGACGACCAGCCACACUGGGACUGAGACACGGCCCAGACUCCUACGGGAGGCAGCAGUGGGGAAUAUUGGACAAUGGGGGCAACCCUGAUCCAGCAAUGCCGCGUGUGUGAAGAAGGCCUUCGGGUUGUAAAGCACUUUUAGCAGGAAAGAAAAGCCGCGGGCUAAUAUCCCGUAGCUUUGACGUUACUUGCAGAAAAAGCACCGGCUAACUCCGUGCCAGCAGCCGCGGGUAAUACGGAGGGUGCAAGCGUUAUCGGAAUUACUGGGCGUAAAGCGCGCGUAGGCGGNCUGUUAAGUUCGGAUNUUGAAUCCCCGGAGUUCAACUUGGGAACUGCUUCGAUACUGGGUUCGGUUUGGAAUUGGUG